AGGAUUUGGCUUCGGAGUCCUCGUCUCUACAGAGUUCGUUUCCACAGAGUCCGGGUUCGUCUUUGCAGGGCAUCUCUUCACGGUUCAUCUUCGAGGGCACAACUUGUGACAAUCAUUCUUCUGAUGCUCCACCUCCCGACGGUUCACUUUCCGAAUGUCCUACCUCCGACGGCCGAUUUCUCUGAUGAAAUUGUUGGCAUGGCUGGAUUUCAAGGUAUCUGCAGUGUGGGACCUUUCUGUCGGUAGCGCUUAUACGAUCACGAUGUCUCAGAUGGGCGCACUCAUCCACUGCCGAGGCAAGCCUAAAGACCUGAGCGCAUAGUCUAAGCCUCUUUCUUAAGGCACCUACCUACAGGCGCCGGAUAUGGAGUAGCCCAAACAGGUGUAUAUUGAACUGUACCCGAGUUAGAAUACUGGACAAACACUCGUGACUGCCCGCAUAUGCUGGUAAGGGGAGCGCCGCGUUCUGCAUACCUCGAGCAAAGCAAGUCGCGACAGCACCUUGCGACACAAUUAGCGAAACUGAGCAUGUACCUACCUCUAACCGAGGUACAGGGCGAGACGUCGCAUGAGACUGGGAGACGACAUGAUGCCGAGGAUCACAUCCAUCAUUUUGCAGUUACGAUCAAAGAGACUCUGAUACAAUAUCCUAUCCUUCGUGAG